AAACACUCCACUUUUUAGUCCAUACACACUGCUCCUACUUAACGCUCCCGAUGGCUGAAGCGCCCCUGAGAAGUCUGCAUUUUGCCUGCUAUGAAGCAUGCGCAGAUCACUGAGAUGGCCAAUUUCAAAGAACAGAAUUUUCUACAAGGAGACCCCAUGCGCAGGAAGUUCCCAGGCAUCUUACAAGAAUAUCCAGGAGCCCUCCCUGGGAUGCUUUCCCUGGCCUCAGAUGUGGACAGCCUUCUACCAACCCCAAUCUUCCCAUGGCCCCGCACCAUGUGUCUAGAAAACAAAAAGCGUGUUCUCAUCUCAAGCCUGGGGAUGCAUUUCUAACAAUCUCCUGCACAAAAUAUGCCCCUGCCAUCCAUAGUUUAGGUGGCGAGAUGAAGCUUUUCUUCUCACCUGUGUGCUUCAACAGAAACUGUGACCAACUUUUCAUCUCUGGAUCCCAGCACUGACCAUGGAGCCAACAAUGCCGCCACUCAGAGUACUUUUGAUUGACAGUUGGUGAGUCUGCAGAUGCAGGACAUGGGACACAGAGAGCGUCGGAGUGCUCAUUAGAAGAUAAACUUCAUGUUGUGGAGGUGACCCGUGUGAGCAUUGGAAGGACUGUAGCUCAGACUCGCUUUGAGAUGUCACGAAACUUGCAGACAUCCCCUUU
rnacentral:lncRNA from 1 species